UUUUAGUACCAUAUAUACACAUUUUAAGUUCAAACUAAGUAAAAUUUAAAAUUUGUGAAAAGAACUCAAAAAUCAAAAAAAAAUUACAUGAAUUUUCCAGAUUGUGGGAUCACCUGUCCCUUAUACCUAUGAUGUGGAAGGGAUAUCCAGAAUGUAUAAAGUAGGAAAAAUAGAUUGAAGCCAGGUUUUGAAGGAUUUGAAAUUUAAAAGAGAUUUUAUAUUUCAUCCUAGAGGUAAUAGGGAAGCACUAGAGUUUAUCAAGCAGCAACCAUCACUUUGGCAGCUGUGUGGAUGAUGGAUUUGAGAAGGAAGACACUUCAGGAAAUACAAUAUUCCAGCACAGAAGUGACUUGUGAAGAUUAAAUUUAACUCUCCCUGGAUCGUGAAAAUGAAAUUAAUUAACUCUCCCCUGAUUGUGAAGAUUAAAUUGUAACCCCUGCCCAUUUUUAGAUUUAAUCACCAAAAGUGUAAAAACCCUACUUAAAAGUUGAGUUGGGAGAUCUGCCCAUUUUUAGAUUUAAUCAACAAAGGUGUAAACACCCCAUUCACACUUGAAUGGGGGAGAUCUGUGACCCACGUAUGCAAUAGUGAAUGACAAAUCAGAAUUAAACUAACUAUCCCGGGGCAGUCUUAAAGCAAAGCUUCAAUU
rnacentral:lncRNA from 1 species